rnacentral:rRNA from 1 species
UACGUAGGGUGCAAGCGUUUAAUCGGAAUUACUGGGCGUAAAGCGUGCGCAGGCGGUUUUGUAAGUCUGUCGUGAAAUCCCCGGGCUCAACCUGGGAAUUGCGAUGGAGACUGCAAGGCUAGAAUCUGGCAGAGGGGGGUAGAAUUCCACGUGUAGCAGUGAAAUGCGUAGAGAUGUGGAGGAACACCGAUGGCGAAGGCAGCCCCCUGGGGUCAAGAUUGACGCUCAUGCACGAAAGCUGGGGAGCAAAC